AGGAAUGGAGGAGAGGAAGUCAGGGGUGUUGAAUGGUUCAUGUAGGCUCACGGGACAGAGAGUUAGGGAUGGAGAAGGAACAGUCAGAGAUAGAGGAGGGAAGAUAAGGGUGAUGGACAGUCCACACUGAGUCACUAGAGGGUGUGCAGAACCAAACAGUUAUACAGAAUAGGUGAGCUUGGAAGACAUUUGUAUCCAAGGAGGGACAGAUAGGGAAUAACCUAGCUCUACUCCCCAAAUACACUGUGGGAUUAUAGCCAACUCACGAGGAGGAAUCAAGCCCGCCAAGGACAUCCUGUGCACGGACAACACACAGAUGGCCCCAUGGAGCAGACGGGCCCACCAGCUCCGCCUCCACCUCGGAGGAUGUUACAUUUGUAGAACUGGAUCAAGCCAAAGAUGUCCAUCCUCUUGGUCACUGUCGUUCUCCACCCCAACCCCCCCACUACCUCUGCAGUGUCUGGGUGGAGAGCCAGAAAUAAGCACAUGUAAGACAAGCCUCUGAUGGCCACGCUACAGAGGGCCAGACUGCUGAGAGUCAUCUGGAAAGCCCACAUUUCCCCAAGUAUCAUGUCCCCAGAUGAGCCUCCCCAACCGUGGAGAGGAUUACAUCUGUGACGGCCCUGGUAUUGAAUAAUUGGCUGUGGAGAAUAUUGGAGAGAGUCUCAAACAGAGGAGGCGGGUACGGUGGGGAGGUUCUGAUUUAUAACCAACUUUGGAAAUGAAAUUGAAUAAAUCUCCGAAGAUA